UCUCUCUCUCUCUCUCUCUCUCUCUCUCUCUCUCUCUCUCUCUGCUUCGAUCCACGCCCUCGAUCCAUUCUCUCUCUCUCUCUCUCUCUCUCUCUCUGUCUCUCUCUCUCUCUCGAUUGUAAGAGGGAGAGCUGCUAGAAGACCUCCUUAUCAUUCAGAUCCAGAUCCAAAUCAGUUCAAGUGGGAGAGAUCUCCUGUUUUUUGCUGUGUUCUUUCAGAUCUAGGGAUUUUACUUGAAAGAAAGCUUUUGCGCGCAUCAGCGGCUCAGAUCUCCUCUUUCGAGGUCUAGAUCUUUGAUCUGAUGCGAUUGGAGUGAUUGCAACUUCUGCCUUGAGCAAUUUACAUUCUCGUCUUGCAUUUGGAGGUAACGUUGGAGGAACCAAAGUUUUGGACUAGGGAGAAGGCCCAAGACGAGUUGAAGACUAGAGCCAUGUCUUUGCAAAGGUCUGCAAAGUGGCUCCCAUUCCAGGUGAGACCAAGGUGUGGCAGUACAUAACAUUAACGAAGCGUAUCUUUUUUAUCGACUGUCCUGGAGUUGUUUAUCACAACAAGGACACUGAAACGGAUAUUGUACUUAAGGGUGUGGUAUGUACUCGCUGCUUGCACUUUUCUGUAGAAGUUAAUUCUUAGAUCUCGUUUGGAUGACAAACCAGAAAUUAGUUCUGAAAAUCGUGUUACGCAAAACUGCAGUUCAUCAAAACUCAUUUUAUCAGAAGAUACUGUUUGGAAGACAAGUGUCCGUUUCUUUGUUUUUUCUCAUAAUGUUUGUCGGAUGUCAAUGUCUGAAAAAUCAUUUUAUCAAAAGUCAAUGCACCAUAAUGCAGUUAGCAACUUCACUACGUAAAUGCCUUGUGUCACCGAACUCUGAUUGGAGGAUAGGAUCUUCCACUAUGACAAUCUAGAUCAUACAAAUAACUUAACCGACUGUGUUUUGAGCAUAAAACAGAAUUUCACCAACCACAUGAAAGUAGUCAUUUGAUUUUGCCUUGGAAUUUGAACCAUUCACUGUUAACCAUCCAUUUGAUAACCAUCAAUCAGAUGAUUAUCUUUGAUUUAUUAAUGUGAUUUUUGAAAUGAUAAAUAGCCAUGCAUGAGUGCCACAUUUGAGGAAGAUGACUCACUAAACUACCAUUUUCAAGAUGUUUGUGAGCUCUGACAUGUAUGCAGACUCCUUUGAUAGUUAACUACAAUUUUAAGAAAAUGGUGGUAACUCUUCCAACAUACACAUGUCUCGGUUAUAUGACAAUCCAAGCUGUCCAAUUGCUUGCCCAAUUGUGUUUGGAGCAUAAAGUUACACAAGUAACCACAUAUCUGGGCUGUCCUAAUUGCUGGCCCAACUGAUGUUUCAAUUUGGCCCUUUGGAAUUUGAGCCAAUCGCUGUUUGACUUUUAACCAUCAAAUGGAUGGUUAGGAUUGGUUGAUUAGUGGGAAUUUCGUCAUAUGGUCCAUUCACAAUGUGCCCCAAAAUUUUGACGGUUUUUUGGAUAGCCUUACGUGAGUGCUACAUGUAAAGAGGAUGAAUCACCACCUUUUUCAAAAUGGGUGGGGGCUAUCAUGUUAAUGCUGCUCUUAAAAUGCAAGCGUGCUUGGUUGCCUGAUUACAGUGAGAGAAAAACACUGAUAGUGUGGCAGGGUGUGAUAAUAGAUGCAUGAGCAUUAACAAAUAGCAUGACUCAUAUGUGGUUAACUUAAACUAAACCAUCUAAAUCGUGGGUGCUUGUUUAGAUAACUUGUGAACUGAAAGCAAUACCAAUUUAAAGUUCAUAUCUUGCUGAUUGGUGGAGAAUUCCCGAGAAGUUUUUGGUCUCAUAAAGAAGCUGAAUAUUGUCCCUGACACCAAGAAGAGAGCAAAAACAACAUCACGUAGAUGCUUUUCCUUUGGCUGUUUCUUUUCUUCCAUCAUGUUGAAUGUACCUUACCAUCAAUCAUUGUUUCUCAUGGUUUGUUUUUCAAAUGUUUGCAGCUUUCUUUGAUACACUGGUCACUGGAGGAAACAGCAACAGCUCUUCGAAGGUGAAUGAAUCUGUAACUCGUGAAUUUGCAUAUUCAAAUUUCAAACUAAAUACCCCUAAAAAAAAAUAAAUUCAAACUUCAAACUAAAUACCCCUAAAAAAAUUCAUACUUCAAACUAAAUGCUCAAGGAGAUGCCUUUUCUCUUCUGAGAAAUUGAAACUACAAUAUCAGAAUUCAAAGGUGGCCUCUGUUUUAUGGAUUAUAAAAAAUUUCAGAUAGACUGGUGUUUACAUCCUUUCCUAAUUUAGAUAGAAGUAUGUAAUUGAAGUCAAGUUCAUCUAUAGAGUUCAUUUUGUUGAGCAGGUUGAUCAUCAUUCACUCCAUUACCACUUUGUGGAGAAGUUGGUGAUUGUAACUUCUUCUUUAGCCUCUGUUGGAACCCCAAACUAAUGCCUGCUUUUGGCACUGUUGGUAGUUUUUUAAACUGCAUAUCCUUGCCCUGGCCCAUUUCCACCUCUAACAGUACAUGCGGCAUAGGCCAUCAGGUGCCCAAGAAUCAACCCAACAUAGUUUUGUGAUCCCUUCGUUUUUUGUAGUUCACCAUCAUUGAAUAGUUGGUCCUUUUUUUUUUCUUCAGGUCAAGUCAUAUUUAUGUGUUUGACACACAAAACAAUCCAAGAGCUGACUCUCUUUUGCAUGCUGAGAUCAAUCCAAGGCCAUGACAAUGCCAAGAACAACCACCUAGUGACUUCUCUAUUAUUCAGUUCCGGUUGCUGGAGCGACUUCUUAUCGUCCAUGGGCACUGGUGCUAUAAGAGGAUUACCCAAAUGGUAAGAACUACAGAAUCCCUACCACUAGAUGGGCCCCUUCAUGUUAGGCCUAGAUCCCAAAUGCAUCCUGACCACAGACACUUCCAGAUGGAAUGUGGGGUCCACCGUGUUGUAAAUAUACCAUCUAGCCCUCUCAUCUGGUGAGAGGCAUAGGAUGAAGGCGACCCAUGAAAUGCAGGCCAUUCCAGAACUCAGGUGAACCACACCAUGUGAAUAUAUAUGUUUUAGGCAAGAUUCUCUAUUGCUGCCUGUGGUAUGUCUCACCUUUGUAUUUGGAUGAUUCUUGGUGUGUAUGGUUGGAAAACCAUCUACUUCAUUCAAUGGAAUAACAUCCCAAGCUUGAUUCUGCAAAUCUUAUCUUGUUAUAUACUGUUGAUCAUUGAUU